ACUCCUACGGGAGGCAGCAGUGGGGAAUAUUGGGACAAAUGGGCGAAAGCCCUGAUCCAGCCAUGCCGCGUGUGUGAAGAAGGCCCUCGGGUUGUAAAGCACUUUCAGCGAGGAAGAACGCCUAGUGGUUAAUACCAUCAUGGAAGACAUCACUCGCAGAAGAAGCACCGGCUAACUCCGUGCCAGCAGCCGCGGUAAUACGGAGGGUGCAAGCGUUAAUCGGAAUUACU
rnacentral:rRNA from 1 species